rnacentral:rRNA from 1 species
ACUGACUAUCUGUAACGGAUAUGUCAGAUCUCACAUCGAUUAUGAACGCAGGGAAAUCUGAUACUUGUUGCGAAUUACAUAAUCUCGAGUGCAUGCCAUUUAGUCUUUGAGCGCAACUUACGCCCUAAUCCUAUAGGCCAAGGGAUCGUCUUCCUAGGCUUCAUGCA